GGGUGGUUUGUUCUGUUGGUAAUUAUUGUAUACAUCUAAUUUUGUUCAAUCACCGCAUUUAUACAUCUUCUGUAGGCUGAUGUGUAGAUACUUUGAUUGAAGAUACUCUCAGAGCUGACACUGUUUAUUAUGUGAAGCAUAAACACAACACAGUAACUGGAUUGAAUUAACCAGAGCUCUUAUUUAAAACACCAAAUGAAUGCAUAUCUAGCACACAAUUGUAAGAGAAAAUGGAAAAUGUAGGUAUGGCUUGCUGCAUAGGGAUACCUACAAUUUAAAAAAUGAUUUAUAUUUCCACAAAUUUCAUUUUAAAUGUA